UUACCUGCCAAUUCCAACCCACCAAUCGGCUCUCACCUAUCUUAUAACAGCUACCGUUCAGUGAGGGUGAAAGCUAACCCGUGCUUCCUCCAAGACGGGAGAUAGAGUGUAUCAUCCCGCCCUCCGUCCCUGAGACCACGGCCAAUUUUGCUCUCUUGGACUCCGGCAACGGAUGACUGUCGCAUCAUCAGGAUUCGAACUCUCUGGAAAACAGCAACCAUCCAAGUGCCUGGACAACGUGGGGGAAACAUCUCAAUGUGUGCGGCUAUAUGUGAAGAUGGUGUGGUAGGCCGUAGACCUACGUUCUUGGAUUAUACAACACUGAACACCAGAAAGCUUUUCUAAAUGAACUUGAGUAGGCCUGUCAGUGUGAAGAAAGACAUCAGAGGAAUUCUUCUCUACUUGGAGGUGGAAGGUGUAUGAUCGCCAUCCCUAUGAGCAUGUCGUCCUCCUUCAAGCCAUGGAUGAGGCUUGCAAUGACAUAACUGCAGAGAAAUGUCAAGCGUGGACUCGUCAUGCCAGAAGGUUUUUCCCAUGGUGCAUGAACAACGAGGAUCUUCAGUGUGUUGAUGAAAAUUUUUGACCAAAUGUUGAAGACAGGCUUGAUGUUAAUUAAUCUGAGAUUAUCUCCAUUUACAGUAAAUUGUUUAUGUUUUUUUGUUUCACAAUGCAACCAGAGUAUUGGUUAAAAAAAAAAAAAUACUGUAAAAUAAAAUAUUUUUCCUGCAUAAUUGACAUUUGAUGUGUAUUUUGAUCAUAUUUUACUUGUAUAAAUAAAAUAUCAAUUUUAUUAUGGCUUUUGUCAGUUUGCUUGGAUGAUGUAAGUGUAAUAUCUAUUGUGAUGACUGUGUACAGUAAAGUAACAGUCAUUCAGAACCAAGGGUGAUUUAAAAUGUGCAUCUUGCAUUGUUUUCUGGUGAAUUAACUGACUGUUAAAAGUGCUAAAUUAAAAUAAGAUCAUACGGUUGCGUUUUGGUGAUUACAAUAAAUGUUCUCAUUACAUGUUACAAUAAUCUUGUGUUUUGAAACAAUGAUUUAAUGGAAAGAAAAUAUGUAACUGAAAUCAGAUCAGGUUUGAAUCAGUCAUUAUUGCAUUAGAACGACUAACUGUGAAACAAGUGUGAUCAAUUUGGAGUCUUGUACUAAGAGUUUUGAAAAAUUACCCCUUACUUGUGAAAAUAGUUCGAAAG
ensembl:lncRNA